AUGCGUCGUGCUAUGAUGCAGUCGAACGAGUGUCUGAUUAUGUGAAAGGGUGCUUGCAUCUUGGAUUUAAUUGUGGAACGAGUGGCGGACGGGUGAGUAACACGUGGGUAACCUGCCCUUAAGUGGGGGAUAACAUUUGGAAACAGAUGCUAAUACCGCAUAAAUCCAAGAACCGCAUGGUUCUUGGCUGAAAGAUGGCGUAAGCUAUCGCUUUUGGAUGGACCCGCGGCGUAUUAGCUAGUUGGUGAGGUAACGGCUCACCAAGGCAAUGAUACGUAGCCGAACUGAGAGGUUGAUCGGCCACAUUGGGACUGAGACACGGCCCAAACUCCUACGGGAGGCAGCAGUAGGGAAUCUUCCACAAUGGACGCAAGUCUGAUGGAGCAACGCCGCGUGAGUGAAGAAGGCUUUCGGGUCGUAAAACUCUGUUGUUGGAGAAGAAUGGUCGGCAGAGUAACUGUUGUCGGCGUGACGGUAUCCAACCAGAAAGCCACGGCUAACUACGUGCCAGCAGCCGCGGUAAUACGUAGGUGGCAAGCGUUAUCCGGAUUUAUUGGGCGUAAAGCGAGCGCAGGCGGUUUUUUAAGUCUGAUGUGAAAGCCCUCGGCUUAACCGAGGAAGUGCAUCGGAAACUGGAAAACUUGAGUGCAGAAGAGGACAGUGGAACUCCAUGUGUAGCGGUGAAAUGCGUAGAUAUAUGGAAGAACACCAGUGGCGAAGGCGGCUGUCUGGUCUGUAACUGACGCUGAGGCUCGAAAGCAUGGGUAGCGAACAGGAUUAGAUACCCUGGUAGUCCAUGCCGUAAACGAUGAAUGCUAGGUGUUGGAGGGUUUCCGCCCUUCAGUGCCGCAGCUAACGCAUUAAGCAUUCCGCCUGGGGAGUACGACCGCAAGGUUGAAACUCAAAGGAAUUGACGGGGGCCCGCACAAGCGGUGGAGCAUGUGGUUUAAUUCGAAGCAACGCGAAGAACCUUACCAGGUCUUGACUUCUUUUGAUCACCUGAAAAAUCGGGUUUCCCCUUCGGGGGCAAAUGACAGGGGUGCAUGGUUGUCGCAGCUCGGGCCUG
rnacentral:rRNA from 1 species